CUAAGAAUCUUCCGCAAUGGGCGAAAGCCUGACGGAGCGACGCCGCGUGGACGAUGAAGGCCGAAAGGUUGUAAAGUCCUUUUCUCUGUGAAGAAUAAGGGUGUGAGGAAAUGCGCAUCUGAUGACGUUAGCGGAGGAAUAAGCCCCGGCUAAUUACGUGCCAGCAGCCGCGGUAAUACGUAAGGGGCGAGCGUUGUUCGGAAUUAUUGGGUGUAAAGGGCGCGUAGGCGGUUCUGCAAGUCCGGUGUAUAAGGCUACAGCUCAACUGUGGUUUUGCGCUGGAAACUGUGGGACUUGAGUUUAGGAGGGGGAGCUGGAAUUCCAGGGUGUAGGGGUGAAAUCGUGUAGAUAUCUGGAAGAACACCGGUGGCGAAGGCGAGCUCCUGGCCAUAGACUGACGCU
rnacentral:rRNA from 1 species